CAGUCGCCACGGGAAUACCAGCACCUCGAGUGGUCAGGAGGUUUAUUGGGCCUAAAGCAUCCGUAGCCGGUUGCAUAAGUUUUCGGUUAAAUCUAUGCGCUUAACGUAUAGGCCGCCGAAAAUACUGUGCAGCUAGGGAGUGGGAGAGGUACACGGUACUCGAUAGGAAGGGGUAAAAUCCUUUGAUCUAUUGACGACCACCUGUGGCGAAGGCGGUGUACCAGAACACGUUCGACGGUGAGGGAUGAAAGCUGGGGGAGCAAACCGGAUUAGAGACCCCCGUAGUCCCUGUCUCUUAUAC
rnacentral:rRNA from 1 species